GAGCUGUAACACGGGGACUUCCUGAUCCUCUUACAUUUAUAAAUAGCAAGACAGAGCCCGAAACAGCAAACAGUCUGAAGGCCAGCUGAGUGGGCCCACCAGGAGGAUGAAGCCCUUUCAUACUGCCCUCUCCUUCCUCAUUUUUGCAGCUACUCUUGGAAUCCAGGCCCAGAUCGUACAUGGCUUUCAAGACUCUUCAGACUGCUGCUUAUCCUAUACCUCACGGGUCCAUUGUUCAAGAUAUAAAAAUUAUUUUCCAACCAGUGGUGGGUGCACCAAGCCGGCCAUCAUCUUUGUCAGCAAGAAGGGGACCUUGGUCUGUGCCAACCCCAGUGAUCUGAGAGUUCAGAAGUGCAUUAAAAGAUUGGAGCAAAACUCACAACCACAGAUCUACAAACAAUAACAUUUGUUUGAGGAGAAGCGUGUAAACUGCCAGCUACUUUCUUUGGUCUUCCCCAAUGACGACCUAUAAGAGGCUCGAAACAUUCAUUUUUAUAGGUGUAUAUAAACAUUUAUUUUUCUGUUCCACUUUAAAGCAGCACACCUAGCCUCGUCACAGAGGGGAAACUUGUCUGUGCCAACCUCAGGCAUCUGAAAACUCUAAAAUGCCUGGAAGGUCUGAAGCUGACCUCAAUGACUAUGCAUAAUAUUUGAUUGAGAUAAAAAGGCAAGGGCUGGAGAGAUGGCUCAGUGGUUAAGCACCUGCUGCUCUUCCAGAGGUCCUGGGUUCAAUUCCUACUUAGAUGACAGCUCAAACCAUCUGUAAUUCCAAUUCCAGGGAGAACCGAUGUCCUAUUCUGUCCUUUAACUAGUAGUAUUUACAGUAUUUUUUUUUUGGUUCUUUUUUUCGGAGCUGGGGACCGAACCCAGGGCCUUGUGCUUCCUAGGCAAGCGCUCUACCACUGAGCUAAAUCCCC
rnacentral:lncRNA from 1 species